rnacentral:rRNA from 1 species
CAAUAGCGUAUAUUAAAGCUGUUGCGGUUAAAAAGCUCGUAGUUGGAUUUCUGUCAAGGACAACUGGUCCGCCCCUCGGGCGAGCACAUAGUUUGGUCUUGGCAUCUUGUUGGAAACUGUUGCUGCACUUGGUUGUGUGGCGCAGUGUCCAGCACUUUCACUUUGAGGAAAUUGGAGUGUUUCAAGCAGGCACAUGCCUUUGGACACAGUAGCAUGGAAUAAUUAGAUUGGGCUUUUGCUCCAACUUGUCGGUUUCUGGAGCUGAGGUGAGAAUUAAUGGGGAUUGUUGGGGGCAUCCGAAUUUAGCCGUCAGAGGUGAAAUUCUUGGAUCUGCUAAAGACGGACAACUGCGAAAGCGUUUGCCCAGGAUGUUUUCAUUGA